UACGUAGGGCGCAAGCGUUGUCCGGAAUUAUUGGGCGUAAAGAGCUCGUAGGCGGCUUGUCACGUCGGAUGUGAAAGCCCGGGGCUUAACUCCGGGUCUGCAUUCGAUACGGGCUGGCUAGAGUGUGGUAGGGGAGAUCGGAAUUCCUGGUGUAGCGGUGAAAUGCGCAGAUAUCAGGAGGAACACCGGUGGCGAAGGCGGAUCUCUGGGCCAUUACUGACGCUGAGGAGCGAAAGCAUGGGGAGCGAACAGG
rnacentral:rRNA from 1 species